GACGGGCCCGCACAAGCAGCGGAGCGUGUGGUUUAAUUCGAUGCUACACGAAGAACCUUACCAGGGUUUGACAUACAAGUGGUAGAGAAGCGAAAGCGGACCGACCCUUCGGGGAGCUUGUACAGGUGCUGCAUGGCUGUCGUCAGCUCGUGUCGUGAGAUGUUCGGUUAAGUCCGCUAACGAGCGCAAACCCUCGCUGUGUGUUACAAGUGUCACACGGAACUGCCGGUCAUAAACCGGAGGAAGGUGGGAUGACGUCAAGUCAGCAUGGCCUUUAUAUCCUGGGCUACACACACGCUACAAUGGGAAGGGACAAUAGGUUGCGAAGCCGCGAGGUGGAGCCAAUCCAGCAAAACUUCCCUCAGUUCAGAUUGCAGGCUGCAACUCGCCUGCAUGAAGUUGGAGUUGCUAGUAAACGCAGGUCAGCCAUACUGCGUUGAAUACGUUCCCGGGGCUU
rnacentral:rRNA from 1 species